rnacentral:rRNA from 1 species
UGUGUCUGGUCGCCACGCCCCUGUGAAGCUCCUUCGACGAGUCGAGUUGUUUGAGAAUGCAGCUCAAAAUGGGCGGUAAAUCUCAUAUAAAGCUAAAUAUUGGCCAGAGACCGAUAGCGCACAAGUAGAGUGAUCGAAAGAUGAAAAGCACUUUGGAAAGAGAUUCAAACAGUACGUGAAAUGGUUGAAAGGGAAGCGCUUGCAACCAGACUUGCCCGCGGGUGAUCAGCCGGUAUUCUUACCGGUGCACUCGCCCGUGGUCAGGCCAGCAUCGGUUUGGGCGGCUGGAUAAAGUCCACCGGAAUGUAGCUCCUCUCGGGGAGUGUUAUAGCCGGAGGUGCCAUGCAGCCCGCCCGGACCGAGGACCGCGCUUCGGCUAGGAUGCUGGCGUAAUGGUUGUAAGCGACCCGUCUUGAAACACGGACCAAGGAGUCUAACAUCUAUGCGAGUGUUUGGGUGUCAAACCCAUGCGCGUAAUGAAAGUGAACGGAGGUGGGAACCCUCAAGGGUGCACCAUCGACCGAUCCUGAUGUCUUCGGAUGGAUUUGAGUAAGAGCAUAGCUGUUGGGACCCGAAAGAUGGUGAACUAUGCCUGAAUAGGGUGAAGCCAGAGGAAACUCUCUCGCAGCGGUUCUGACGUGCAAAUCGAUCGUCAAA